UGCAAUUUUCUCCAUCUUCUUAAUCUCCCUCCUCCAAAUCAGAGAAACGAAACCAUAAUCCAUACCCAUAAAUAAAUACUCUAAUUUCAUUGGAAAUAGAUACCCUAUUUUUAAUGGAACCCAGUAGAUCUCAAGUUCUCUGAAGAUUUGGAUUGAAAUUAGAGUUUUGAUUUUGGGGUUUUGUUAGAGAUUCUUUGAUUUCAUAAAAAAUGCUUUAUGUUUGGUUUGAUUUUCUACAAACUACAAAUCAGCAAUCGGUAGAAGAACAUUCAACAUCUUCACUUGCAUUCGUUGAAGAUCCUCAGGUAAUGGAGAUGUUGGUGCUAUUGAUUGUCAUUUAUAGGUAAUGGAGAUGGUGGUGCUUGUGAUUCGUUGUAUUAUGAUACUAAAGAUGGUGAUGGUGGUGGUGGUGGUGAUUUGUAGUUAUGGGGUUAGUAACGGAGAUGCUUGAUCCUCGGGGAGUGAGUAAGGGCUCUGGUUUUGUUGCAUUCUCCACCCCGAGGAAGCUGCUAGAGCUGUGAAAGAAAUGAAUGGGAAGAUGAUAGGUCGGACACCUCUUUAUGAUAGGCUCAUUUUGCUCAAAUGCAAGCACCUGGUACAAUGACACCUUUUACAUCAGGUGAUGUCAAGGAAUUCUAAUCAAGGACUCAGAUACAUACCAAACUCAAGGAAUGGGCUUGUAGACCCAUCUGUGGUACCUCUGACUCCAAUUAUGACGUUGCCGCUUGAUGCUUCUAGUGUACCUAUAGCUACAGUGGAAGCACAACGAGAUGGACUAGUGUAUAUUAACACACUUCCGAAGCGGAAUUUGGGGGGAGGUUAAUAAUGUCUGUGCUAAGUUUGAAAACAAAAUCCUCUCUUAUGUAUCUGAACUUGAUUGUUAAAUAUAGUUUGCUGCUGUGGAUCUAGAUUAUAGAACCACAUGUUGCCAUUCGUUUGCUUUUAUGAUACUAGAAGUCAUAAAGAAUGGACUUUUUGUGGUCUUUCGUGCACAAACUUAAACAUAUGGUGAUUGGUGAAUCAUUUCUAUGUUUUCCACAGCUCUCUGGUGUGUUAGGAGUUGGCAGAAACUUUUCAUCUAUGUGAAUGUCUAAAUUGUACACCUUUUUUGGUUGGUUUGUUUUCGUUUUAUCAGUUGUAGUCUGUUCUUUGUUUUUCUAAUGUUAUUUAUAUUGGGCAGGUGACAGAGAGAGGGGUUUUCUAGAUGCACAUUUGAGAAGAGAAUUCGUAAGUCUGAUGUCGUUAUCAUUCCUGUGUUUUGUUAAGAUGAGGCUCCUCCCUUUGACCCAUUAUUGGCCACACUCAAACCAUGCAACAGGUGUGUUGCUGGUAAGAAGGAUUCACCUGAAAAGGAAGCCCUGCUCAGCGCAAGGUUACUGGCAUGCUACUAAAAAUGGAUAAAACCGAAGUGCUCCAUCUGUUAAAGAGUCCCCAGAUGCUUUCAAAAAAGUUUCAGAAUCCAUGGCCGUUUUGGAGCGAGCUAGACGCAUGUUUUGAGGAGUGAAUGGGACCAACCUCCACUUGGAAAGAAACCUGCUGUAUAUGUUCAUGUCAAGGUAUCUUAUUCAUCGAGAUUCCUUGACAUGUUCAAGUAUGCCAUUUCAACCAAGAUGGAAGUGCGGAAUUUGAGUCUAGGAGGCAGUAAUUACUCAUCUCUUUUUUUUGUUAAGGAUUCACAAAGAGAAUAAUAUCUCAAUAAUAUGCAGCGGAUAAUUUGGUUGAGCUUAUUCACUUCAAACUGCUUUAUAAAGAUGGACAUAGGGGAUAUCCCUAACACUAAAUCUGCGGUUCUUCUUCCAAACGAAUAAUUCUUUCUUUUUUCUUUUCUUUUUUCACUGAAUUGUUGAUUGUGUAUUGAAAGAGAACUGAAAGAGAACGGAUUGCAAUUGUUUCAGGUUUAAAUGUAAUUGUAUUGCAUGCUUUAAUUGAGUUCAGACUGUAAACUGAGAGCCCAGGUCCACGACAGAACCUGAGCGGCCUAGUUUUUUUUAAUUGUAAUCUAAAGUUUUGUUACAGGUUUAACUGUAACAACAAAUGUAAUAAAAGAAACACGUGUCGUCAUCUCAGAUUUGUUGCAAGUAAGAGUAACGGUUCAACUGUUACAGUAUCCGUAACUAAAGGACUGCACCCUCUUAUUUGUUGCAAAUAUUAAGUAAUAAUUAUAAUUGUUAGAAUAUA